AUUGAACGCUGGCGGCAUGCCUUACACAUGCAAGUCGAACGGCAGCGGACCUUCGGGUGCUGACGAGUGGCGAACGGGUGAGUAAUGCAUCGGAACGUGCCCAAUCGUGGGGGAUAACGUAGCGAAAGUUACGCUAAUACCGCAUAAGCCCUGAGGGGGGAAAUGGGGGACCGCAAGGCCUCACGCGAAUGGAGCGGCCGAUGUCAGAUUAGCUAGUUGGUGGGGUAAAGGCCCACCAAGGCGACGAUCUGUAGCGGGUCUGAGAGGAUGAUCCGCCACACUGGGACUGAGACACGGCCCAGACUCCUACGGGAGGCAGCAGUGGGGAAUUUUGGACAAUGGGCGCAAGCCUGAUCCAGCCAUGCCGCGUGCGGGACGAAGGCC
rnacentral:rRNA from 1 species